CCUACGGGCGGCUGCAGUGAGGAAUAUUGGUCAAUGGUCGCGAGCCUGAACCAGCCAAGUAGCGUGAAGGAUGACUGCCCUACGGGUUGUAAACUUCUUUUAUGCAGGAAUAAAGUGAGGCACGUGUGCCUUUUUGUAUGUACUUUAUGAAUAAGGAUCGGCUAACUCCGUGCCAGCAGCCGCGGUAAUACGGAGGAUCCGGGCGUUAUCCGGAUUUAUUGGGUUUAAAGGGAGCGUAGAUGGGUUGUUAAGUCAGUCGUGAAAGGUUGCGGCUCAACCGUAAAACUGCAAUGGAUACUGGCAGUCUUGAGUACAGUUGAGGUAGGCGGAAUUCGUGGUGUAACGGUGAAAUGCUUAGAUAUCACGAAGAACUCCGAUUGCGAAGGCAGCUUACGAAACUGCCACUGACAUUGAUGCUCGAAAGUGCGGGUAUCAAACAGGAUUAGAUACCCGGGUAGUC
rnacentral:rRNA from 1 species